rnacentral:rRNA from 1 species
GACGAACGCUGGCGGCGUGCCUAAUACAGGCAAGUAGAACGCAGGUUCGAACGGGUGAGUAACGCGGAGGUAACUGCCUCAUAGCGGGGGAUAACUAUGGGAAACGAUAGCUAAUACCGCAGACUGUGAGAUGGACCUGCGUUGUAUUAGCUAGUUGGUGAGGUAAAGGCUCACAAAGGCGACGAUACAUAGCCGCCCUGAGAGGGUGAUCGGCCACACUGGGAGUGUGUAAGGGCCCAGAAUUCUACGGUAGGCAGAAGUUGGGGAGCUUCGGCAAUGGCCGGAAGUCUCACCCAGCCCCGGCGGGUUAGUGAAGAAGGUUUUCGGAUCGUAUAGCUCUGUUGUUAGCGGACCGGUACCUAACCAGAAAGGGCCGGCUUACUACGUGCCAGCCGCCGCGGUAAUAC